rnacentral:rRNA from 1 species
AAAACUAGCCAGUCCGAUAGGUAUGAAACCCAUUUGAGCGAGAAUAGUACUAGGAUGGGUGACCUCCUAGGAAGUCCUCGUGAAAGGGUUUC